ACCCCUAAUCCAAUAUGAAUCCAUGUCACCGAAAAUGUGAAAUUCCAAGCAUAUGCAUUCAUAGUCUACCUAAAGCGUUGAAAAUAAACUCUAUUGAAAGUACGAACUAACGGACUGAUGAAUUUCUAUUCUACAUGACCCAGGUGGAAUAAGAAAUUCAAAAUUGUCAAGUACACAUGACAAAACCAAUCUUGUAGACACAAACGUAUGUUGAUACGGAUAUGGCUUUAUGGAAGAUGGUAAUUCUGGCUCCAAAUGUCAACACAAGUCGACUAUAGUUCAAACCCUCUCAAGUAAUCACUAUACCCAAACAUGAGAAUAUAAACUUUAAACCCAAAUAUAAACCAUAAAUUCAAAUAAAAUAAAUAAUAUAAUAUGAAAGUUCAGGAGUGUUCUAUUCCAUAUCACCAAAAUAGUAUAUAAUACCAACCCCAUACAACCCCUCAAUAAUUAACCAUAUAACAACCCUACCAUAAACCUCUAAAUACUUAACCUUAAACCAUAAUCACUAAACCCUAAACUCAAAUAUAAACCUUCAACCUAAAUAGAAUGGAACUAAAUAAAUAGCUUAGUACAUAUUGAUGAAAUUAUGAAAUGUCUAUGAUAUCAUGGAAGAAGUUAAUGCUAACCC
rnacentral:lncRNA from 1 species